rnacentral:rRNA from 1 species
GCCGCGUGAGUGAAGAAGGUCUUAGGAUUGUAAAGCUCUGUCCUUAGGGAAGAACCGUGGGUAUAGAAAAUGAUACCCACCUGACGGUACCUUUGGAGGAAGCACUGGCUAACUACGUGCCAGCAGCCGCGGUAAUACGUAGAGUGCAAGCGUUGUCCGGAAUUAUUGGGCGUAAAGGGUACGCAGGCGGAUAAUCAAGUCAAGCGUGAAAGGUGUCGGCUUAACCGACAGACUGCGUUUGAAACUGGUUAUCUUGAGUGUAACAGAGGAGAGUGGAAUUCCUAGUGUAGUGGUGAAAUACGUAGAUAUUAGGAAGAACACCAGUGGCGAAGGCGACUCUCUGGGUUA